AGGUUCCCACAGCCAGCGUCACCAUAGAAGGAGCUUCUGCCCUCAACCGUGUCCGCUGGGCCCAGGCCGGGAAGGAGGUAGCAGUUGGUGAUUCAGAAGGCCGAAUAUGGAUCUAUGAUGUUGGAGAGCUGGCCGUUCCGCACAACGAUGAAUGGACCCGCUUCGCUCGGACCCUGGUGGAAAUCCGCGCCAACCGAGCAGACAGCGAAGAGGAAGGGGCGGUGGAGCUGUCGGCCUAGGGGAGGAGAAGGAGCAGCGCCCGCCGUCACCGGAACAGCAGCUUUCCCUCACCAAGCACGCUGGUGUUCAGUGUCAGAGUCGGUCUUGCUGUGGCUUUUGAUGCCAGUGUACAUGCCACUAUUGCUCAAAGCAUUCCGUAUUAAUCACACUGCUUUACACAAGGCUGAAAAUAUCCAGAGCAUUUUCAUACUUUAUAUUUCUGUCUGAAAAGUAAGAAAGAAAAGACAAAUCAACCCUUUAUGGGUUUAGUUGUUGCCUUUUAACUACUUAGUAGCUGUAUUUAAUAGCUAGGAACCCCUGGUUAAACUUGUGCUCACGUUGCCCUUCUGGCAUAGUCCUAUUAAAUCCAUAUGAAGCCAGAUAUGAUUAUGUGCAGAUGUGGUGUGCUUCACUGUAUGGGACUGGGCCAAAGACGUUAGAUGUGGUGUUUCACAUGGUGACUUACAUUAUGAAUGGAUGUACUAUACGAAAGUUGCUGCUCCUUAUUUAUUGCGGUGUGCUGCAUGGAACAUAUUUAUUUGAAAGCAUUAAAAUAAACGAUCCUAAAGCAUGUGCAUAAUGAGAGAACUGCAUUGUCUGUGUGCUGCUGUAGAGGUUACAUUAAAGUCCACAUAACAAUUACAGUACAUCAGUUGUGCUUAAGAUGUAGGAUCUAUAAAGGUUGGCUUGAGUGGAUGGAAUGAGUUUCCUUUUUUUUAAGAUGCCUAUUAUUUCUAGGCACUUUAACUAUAUUUCAAAUACAGUUGGUCACUGAUACUUGUCAUGCAAGUUAACACUAACAGGCUGACAAAGGGUUGUGGUUCCAGAGUAUGACACUGGUAUUGCCAAUAAAAUGUAUCAAGCCCGGCCUGUU